UCAUUCAUUCCUCACUUCGACUUCGAAAACUGAUUUCACAUUCACGAAAGCGAAACCCUAACCCUAGCGUGUGGCCUCGUAGGCGGUUGGUAAGCGAUAAGACUCCGAUUAGGAGUUGAAAACUCACGUUUCGGAGUCGAAUCAUCGAGUGAUAGACUGAGUAACGUUGUUCAAAAUCUAGAUUGGACGACAAUUGGUGGUUGAAGCUAAUUCGGGAUUUGUGGAAGCUUCGUGUUGUGGACUGAGAAACAAUAACUAUAGCCCCAGGAGAACAGAAUAUACCAAUUUGGCUCAGAAUCUCUGUUUUGGGUUGUGAAGGUUGUUGAAGCUUCAAGUUGAACAGUGAGAGAUGUGAGUUAUCUUCUUGUAGCUCUUUGCAAGUUCCUGAAACUCCAAUCUAACUUUGAAGUUGAGUUUCAUACCAGUUGUGACCCUGUACAGUUUCU